GAAAUAACUUUUCUCUCACAAUCCUCUUCUCUGUAUCUAUUGAUGCCAUUUAUACAUUCGUCACAUACAAUAUACCAUACAAAAAUACAUCCUUUACAUUACUAAAUGUAUUUUACCUAAGAGGUAUCUGUGUUGUUCCCGGGGCAAUGGUUUAGUGAGUAUAUCUGCUAUCUGUUCUUUAGUCUCACAAAAGGUAGUUUCAAUAAAACCCAAUUUUGAUAGCUGUCUUACAUGCUUGCAUUUUAUAUCAAUAUGGUGUGACCUUUGCCCCAUUGCCCUUUGAUAUGUUGAUUGCUGCCAUAUUAUCCUCGUGAAUUCUUACAGGAUACACAGGUUCUUUCCAUAGAUUCAUUAAAAGGUCAUCAAACCAGACUAAAUUGUUUGAAGCCUUGGACAGAUAGACAUAUUCUGCCUCAGUAGUAGAAGUGGCAAUCAACUUCUGUUUCCUGAAUACCAGUGGAGAGGGCUUCCAUUCAGUAAUAUUACAUACACCGAAGUACUCUUCCUGGACUUGAUGUCCCCUGCCCAAUCUGCAUCUGAAUAACAAUUUAUUUACACCUCGACACUAAGCAUCCAAUAACCAACCAUAGGAGUGAGCUGGAAGAAACCAGAGCUAUGAUGAGCAUCCCCUCUAGCCCACACCGGGCUUGAGAUGAGGCAAAAUGGCGAGAGGAGCUGGACCUCAAUGAGAAGCAUAUCAGGCCCAGAUGGUCUCUGGGUAUAGGGCAAAGGGAAGACACCCCCCACCUCUGGGGGGAAGCCCGGAGGUGGCCAUGCUGAACAAGGUGUCAGAUCCAUUCUUCCUGCUUUGUGGGACUUUGGUGGGACAGACCGAUUAUCAUCACCAUAAUAUGAUAUGAAAUGGUACUUAAUGGAACUCAGGUUCAAACUCAUAAGAGUUUUACCUUUUUAAGUAGAUAAGAUGUGAUUAAUCACUGCAGUAUAGUAUGUUUGGAAAAAAAUUGAAUUAUAAAUGAUAAUCUCACUAUAAAAUGAGAAUGAAAUAAAGUAAA